UCCCGCGCCGCCGGCCGCCGCGGGUGCCUCCGACUCCCUUCGUCCCCAACCGCGGACCUGCACGGCCCUGCGUUUGCUCCUCCGGGCUCCGCACCUUCCCUCCUCCGCAGAUUUCUUAUGUUGAACCUCUAAUCCCCAAUGUAAUGAGGUUUGAAGGCUUUUGAGAGGCAAUUAGAUGAUCAGUGUGGAGCCCUCAUAUGGAAAUGAUGACCUUAUGAAGAAGAAAGUGUAGAGAGAGAAUCUGUCUCCACCAUGUGAAGAUAUAAGACAGCCACCACCUGCAAAUCAGGAAGCAGGCCUUUACCAGACACCAGAUCUGCUGGUGCCUUGACCUUGGACUUCCCAGAAUCCAGACCCGUGAGAAAUAAAUGCUUGUUGUUUAACCAA